rnacentral:rRNA from 1 species
GACGAACCGAGCGAACGUUAUUCGGAAUUACUGGGCGUAAAGGGCGCGUAGGCGGACAGUUUAGUCAGAGGUGAAAGCCCAGGGCUCAACCUUGGAAUUGCCUUUGAUACUGGCUGUCUUGAGUUCGGGAGAGGUGAGUGGAAUGCCGAGUGUAGAGGUGAAAUUCGUAGAUAUUCGGCGGAACACCAGUGGCGAAGGCGACUCACUGGCCCGAUACUGACGCUGAGGCGCGAAAGCGUGGGGAGCAAACAGG